rfam:Dipodomys ordii contig_62878, whole genome shotgun sequence.
GUGGGGUACGGCGACAUGCACCCGGUGACCAUCGGGGGCAAGAUCGUGGGCUCCCUGUGCGCCAUCGCGGGCGUGCUGACCAUCGCCUUGCCCGUACCCGUGAUCGUCUCCAAC